CAUUUUCAUUUUAUAUUUAGAAUAACAAGAAAGUAAAAUCAGUAAGAGACAGAAACGAAAAAGGCCAGUUUUUUUCAUUUUCUGAGACCGGACGUGGUCAUCAGCAAGUGUGGAGCCAAACGACAACAAGAGUCUCAGAGGGCGGAGCCAGAGAGCAGCGAUUGGUCAGACCAUAGAUAAUAUAGAAGACAGCACGCUAGCGUAUAUCUAUGGUCGGCACGUCUGGUAGCAUCUCUGGCUGCUGUUGACCUUGUUUUGGGAGUAAAACACGGUGGAAGCUGAAUUAGUGAGGAUGACUCCUGCUCCUGUCAUCUCUAAGCUCCUCACACAUCUUUACCUGCACAUGAGGAAAAUCACUCCUGUAGAAUGCAGAUGUUCAGAGGGAGAUGAUGCCACAUCUGGUCCAGCUGAUGGAAGGUCUUGAAGUUCUCUGACUGGCCUCGACUGAAGAUGGUCGUCUCACUGGAUUUAAGGUUCAGAUGCUCAGUAACAAACUUCACCAAUGUGCCAACAGGGAAGCUUUAGGUUUAUUAAAUGUUGCUAUGAAGGUUUCGCUGUUUUUCUUUGUGAAUGCAAUGUGCUCCAACUGAAACUUGAAUUAGAACUUAGAAGUAAAUCCUUCCAUCUGAAAGGAUUUAGUUGCAAUAAUAAUCUCAUAACAUUCUAAUUUUUAUUCCAGUCUUGGUUGGAAAUAGAAUCUCUGUAUUGAUUCAGGUAAAAACUGAACUUCACAGCAUGUUGAAGCAAAACAACCAGAUGAAAACUGUGAUGGUGUUGGAUUGUCAGACCGUAAUGUUGCAGCUCAAAGCAGCUUUUCUAGCUCAGUUCAUUCUGACAUUCAGCUAUGAAUCAACACAGCAGAUGGUGAUCCAUGCUGUGGAAGUCUCACAUCUCCUGAUUUAAUGGAGCUGCUUUGCACUUUUUACACUGUUUAUUCACCAACACUUUAUUUAAUAAAAGUCCCAUCUAGUUUUCAUGAGGAAUGUGAUGUUUUAAUUCCUCUGUGAAUAACUGCAGUCUAAUGCAACAGCUGGAAUUGUAACAUCUGUCCUGAUAUUGAUCAUGAAGUAUUGAUCAGAAUACUUAUGGUUAGCAGUCAUCCCUGAAGUUUUACAUUAAAAUCUCUACUUGUGUUGUGAACUUUGGUAAGAAGGAGAAACGUUACCGUUGCCAUGGAUACAUGAGUAUUAAAUUCUGUCCAUGUUUCCAUUUUGGGAAAUGCAGUCCAGUUCCAGAAUGUGGAGGAAUUUAGUCUCACAAUCACAGACAACAAAUAUUAUCUGAAAGUUGGGUUAUUGUUGUUUAUCAGCACAAUACAAAAAGAUUGUUAGAAAUAUUCCAGUUAAGACUCUAGAAUAUCAUGAUUUAUGUAAAUUUACCUCAAUAAUAUGAAUGUUCAGGUUAAGGUUGUACAGUGAUAUUUAUUAUGUAACUUUAGCUGAUUAAAAUUUAUGACUCUGCACUACAAUAUUAUUUAAAUUGACAUCAUUAUUAUAAUAUUUAGAGUCAGACCCUACAGUAUUGAGAUGAAGAAAUCAAAUAUUCUAUAAAAUGUAAAUACACUGAACUCAUUUGGAUAUAUUUAAGUGAGACUCUACAAUAUUAUUUGACACAAAUCUAUCUAAAUCAAAAUUUUAAUAAUUUUCACGCCAAACAUUUACUGGACUGAUUUAAAUAUUAAAAUCACUCCUUUCUAAUCCUCUGCUGUACGUUCAAACCUGAGGCCUUAAAUAGAAACACACAAGUAUCUGUUUGAAGGAACUUCUGCAGAGUCCUGGUUCCAGAACAUGAUGAUAGAAUUAUAGACAAACUUUAACAAAAGCUGCCUGAGAGUUUACAGGUUUUUGUUAGAUUUCUUCAGUAAUUUAAUGAGAGUUAUCAGCAAAAAUCAAGUGUUCAUUUGAUGAACUUCAUUUCCUAAAACAUCCAGAAUUGGAGCUCAUAUCUUUGGCAGCUGUAAAGUUUCUGCUCCUUCAAAGUUCACAACACAAUGAAGUAAUUCCUAAAACACUCUCAAUGCUGGAGAGUGUUUGUGAUGCUGAAGCAGUGACCAGUUUUUCUGUUUCUUCUCUGGAGAUGCACAAUGAGGGACGUCUGCAGAGACUCAGAAAGAGUCUCACCACAUCCUGACAUGAGGAAAAAGACUUUAUUGAAGACUACAAUGAGAAAAACUAUCAGACAGCAGACGGCUGCAUUCAAGUUUAGGCUGUUAGAUUGUUCCAGAUAAAACAAGUACAAGAUUCUUCAGAGCCGUUCUACCACGAGCCUGACAGGAAGAACUCCAACAGCUACUGAAUGUUCCUGUGGUCCCCUCAAGGCUACAGGAGUCCUACGAGGACGAGCCGGUCCACCUGAUGGCGGCCAGUCACUGCAGUUCAAAGCCAACACCGACUACGUGGACUUCUACUGGACCACACAGAGGCCUUCAAACUGGACCAACAAGUUCACCGACUCCCCGACUCGUGGGUCUGAGGACGCCGCCGAGCCUCGGCCCAGCCGGCCUCCUGUCUGUGGGUGUUUGAGUGCUGAGAGGUUUGUGGAUGCAAGUGAACGUGUCUGUGUUGAAACAGCAGCUUUUGACUCACUAACGCUGGGAAAAACCAAGAGCUCCUUUAUUUGUGACUUCCACUAAAAAACUGAUGAAAAUAAGUUUGCCAGGGUUCUGACUGAUAACAGAUUAUUAAAUAAUGAAAAUAAUUGUUUAAAUAUUCCUUUAAACAAUCCUUUUAGGUCUACAUUACGCUGACUUCUUGGUAUAUGUACAAGUAUUUUGGGUGGAAUAUACCAAUAAACUCGAUGUUCAAGGGUUCUUCUGGGAGUAUACCAUUAAACCAACCUUUUAGGUAAAUGUUCCAGGAUGGGUAGAAUAUACCAUAAGAUAAACCUUUUAGGUCUACAGUGGAAGAUUUUAGAGUAGAAUAUUACUCCAAACCAUCCUUUAGGUCUACAUUUAAGGUGGAAUACUCCUUUACACCAAGAUUUUUUUGGUCUACAUCGAAGGACUUUAGGUGGAAUAUUCCAUUAAACAAACUUUUUAAGUCAAUGUUCAAGGAUGUUGGGUGGAAUAUACCAUCAGGCCAACCUCCAAGGUCUACAGAAGUGAAUUUUAGGUGGAAUAUACCAUUAAACUCACCUUUUAGGUCUACAUUGGAGGAUUUUAGGUGGAAUUUUCUUCCAAACCGUCUUUUAGUCUACAUGUAAGGAUGUUUAGGAUGGUAUAUUCUUCCAAACCAACUUCUCAGGUCUAUAUUUCAGGUGGAAUAUUCCUCCAUACUAACUUUUUUGGUCUACAUUGAAGGAUUUUUUCUAAAACACCCUUUCGGGUCUAUAUUUAAGGUUUUAGGUGGAAUAUUCCUUUCAACCAGCCCCUCAGGUCUCUUUGAGGAUUUUGGAUGGAAUACUCGGUUAAACCAACAUUUUAGGUGCAUGUCUAAGGAUUUUUGGUGGAAUGUUCCUUUAAGGUGGAUGUGUGAGGACCUUGUAGGUGGAAUACUUCCUGAAACCAACCUUUUAGGUCAACAUUCAAAGAUUUAAGGUGGAAUAUUCCUAUAAACCAACCUAAAUUUCAUGUUUUGAUAAUUAUCAAGUAAGAAACCUCAAUCCAGACUCCUCAUAAUGACGUUUGAGAUUUAUGCUGCUGUUAUUUGUUUAGUCCAGACUAAAUGACAGAAAUCCACAACUGUAAUUUUAUUUCAGGACUCGGUUAUUAAAUAUCAAAACAAUCCAUGUGACUCUAAAAACUCAACAGCUUUACAAACUCUAAGAUUAAACUCUCCACAAAGAUCCAAAAUAAGUUGGACUUCUACAUGAGAGCUUUAAUUAUUCUUCAUCUACUUCCUGAAAAGUUUGCUCAAUAAAAAAAGACAAAAACUAAUAUUUUCAGCUGAACUAAAGACAGACUUUGUGAUUUUUCUGCUCACAUGUUGUGUUGUUGUAAACUUCCUCUUUCAAAUAAAUAUCCUCCUAACCCCCUGGAAA